AGUAGGGAAUCUUCCACAAUGGACGAAAGUCUGAUGGAGCAACGCCGCGUGAGUGAAGAAGGAUUUCGGUUCGUAAAACUCUGUUGCAAGGGAAGAACAAGUAGCGUAGUAACUGGCGCUACCUUGACGGUACCUUGUUAGAAAGCCACGGCUAACUACGUGCCAGCAGCCGCGGUAAUACGUAGGUGGCAAGCGUUGUCCGGAAUUAUUGGGCGUAAAGCGCGCGCAGGUGGUUCCUUAAGUCUGAUGUGAAAGCCCCCGGCUCAACCGGGGAGGGUCAUUGGAAACUGGGGAACUUGAGUGCAGAAGAGGAUAGUGGAAUUCCAAGUGUAGCGGUGAAAUGCGUAGAGAUUUGGAGGAACACCAGUGGCGAAGGCGACUGUCUGGUCUGUAACUGACACUGAGGCGCGAAAGCGUGGGGAGCAAACAGGAUUAGAUACCCUGGUAGUCCACGCCGUAAACGAUGAGUGCUAAGUGUUGGGGGGUUUCCGCCCCUCAGUGCUGCAGCUAACGCAUUAAGCACUCCGCCUGGGGAGUACGGUCGCAAGACUG
rnacentral:rRNA from 1 species